rnacentral:rRNA from 1 species
GACGAACGCUGGCGGCGUGCUUAACACAUGCAAGUCGAGCGGAAAGGCCCUUUCGGGGGUACUCGAGCGGCGAACGGGUGAGUAACACGUGAGUAACCUGCCCUAGACUUUGGGAUAACCCUCGGAAACGGGGGCUAAUACCGGAUAUUUACUGCUGAUCGCAUGGUUGGUGGUGGAAAGUUUUUCGGUCUGGGAUGGGCUCGCGGCCUAUCAGCUUGUUGGUGGGGUGAUGGCCUACCAAGGCGACGACGGGAGCCGGCCUGAGAGGGCGACCGGCCACACUGGGACUGAGACACGGCCCAGACUCCUACGGGAGGCAGCAGUGGGGAAUAUUGCACAAUGGGCGGAAGCCUGAUGCAGCGACGCCGCGUGAGGGAUGACGGCUUUCGGGUUGC